CCCCGCUCCCGACCUGGCUUACGCGGUCCCGACCCCGCCCAGCUCCGUGGCCUCACCUCUGACUCCUAGGCCCUCCCUGCCUAAUCCCCUGCCGCGGGAGCCCGUCUCGACCCCUUCCAUGCCUCCCAGUCCCACCCUGCCCAGGGCAAGCCCGCUCGGUGUGACGGUUCCCCGCGAGUCGAGGGUGGAGAAGCCAGCCUCCUUCCCCCGAGUGGGACUCUAGCAGCCCACCUCUUUUAGGGGUGCUGAGAACACCCAUUACUCAUCCACAGCUACUAGGGUAGCUUUCUCAGGGUGCAGUGCUUACGGGGCGGAGGGGGAUGGAAACAGACCCAUGCCCUGGCUGGAAGGGAGCUCCAGUCGCUAGCUCUCAGGGCCAGAGCGGGGCAGGAGGAUGCUUUCCCAGCCCCACCAUGGAGCUGCGCUGUGGGGGAUUGCUGUUCAGUUCUCGCUUUGAUUCAGGGAAUCUAGCCCACGUGGAGAAGGUGG
rnacentral:lncRNA from 1 species